CAGCCGCCGCGGUAACACCGAGGGUGCGAGCGUUAAUCGGAUUUACUGGGCGUAAAGCGUGCGUAGGCGGCUUCUUAAGUCGGAUGUGAAAUCCCUGAGCUUAACUUAGGAAUUGCAUUCGAUACUGGGAAGCUAGAGUAUGGGAGAGGAUGGUAGAAUUCCAGGUGUAGCGGUGAAAUGCGUAGAGAUCUGGAGGAAUACCGAUGGCGAAGGCAGCCAUCUGGCCUAAUACUGACGCUGAGGUACGAAAGCAUGGGGAGCAAACAGGAUUAGAUACCCCUGUAGUCCCUGUCUCUUAUAU
rnacentral:rRNA from 1 species